GAAAGGAAUGCUAAUACCCGCAUACGUCCUACGGGAGAAAGCAGGGGAUCUUCGGACCUUUCGCUACAUGAUGAGCCUAUGUCGGAUUAGCUAGUUGGUGAGGUAAUGGCUCACCAAGGCAACGAUCUUUAGUUGGUCUGAGAGGAUGAUCAGCCACACUGGAACUGAGACACGGUCCAGACUCCUACGGGAGGCAGCAGUGGGGAAUAUUGGACAAUGGGGGAAACCCUGAUCCAGCAAUGCCAUGUGUGUGAAGAAGGCCUUAGGGUUGUAAAGCACUUUAGUUGGGGAAGAAAGCUUUAAGGUUAAUAACCUUGAGGAAGGACGUUACCCAAAGAAUAAGCACCGGCUAACUCCGUGC
rnacentral:rRNA from 1 species